rnacentral:rRNA from 1 species
GGUAUGGAACAGUGUAGAGGGUGAAGCGCACCGUCAGCAGUUUGGUUCAGAGCGUGCGGUAGAACCGUUCGUGAGAGAGGAGGGGGUGGCGCGGCGGCUCGAGGCGGAGGCCGGCUGCGUUCGUCGGGUGGAGCCUGCUUAAGAAGAAGGGGAUGGGGAGCAUAGAUGGCCCUACCGCAGCCCACCUCUAGGGGGUAGGCCCAAGCGACUACUCUCGUUUUCAUUUUUUUGUCUUCCUAGUAGGUUGCUUCCAGUUCCCCAAGGAGGUCGACGACGACGUCCGAACAGCCCAGGAAAGCUAAAAAGAAGAUACGUUUCAAACGAGUUACUAGGCAGAUAUUUCCUCUACCGCCUAGUCUAACGUUCCCUGGGACGUAAGUUAGUCUACCGACUCGUCGAUGUCUUUCCACGAGUCUGACGUCCUCUUGUCCCGUACGGAGGUAACCUAGGAGUAGUUAUGUACCUUUGUUACGUUUCCCAGUACCUUUUGGGAGUCAAAUACUGUUACCGUCUCGCGGAGCCCUGACGAGAAUACGUCCUAGGACGAUACAGGUCAUACGACCUUUUAAACUGAUCAGGUAGUGUAUUCCUCCUCGAACUUCUCGCGUACAGAGCCUAAUUCCUGCUAGGUCGGAACUUCGGUUAAGAACUACUCAAUCUCUUACCACCAGGACGACGUUACUAUUUCAUGACCUUACUGGGACUUUGAGAAGUUUUCUAACCGGUCCGUUACCCUUGAUGCUACGGUAAAUCGUGACAGAGAUGACGACUUGGAAGACCAUGACUUCUUUGACUUCUUCUUCCACUUCUACUUCUGCUCAGGUAACAGGUGGUGUGACGGUCACAACCACUGCCACUCCCAGACUUCUUCCGAGAUCUACCACCUCGUCUGUUCCUACUUCUUCUGAGACUCCCUUCUUCCCGGAACGUGAAACGUACACCUAUACCACUCAAGUUCACACGCCUUUAGGAGGAACUCCGCCCGCGACGACAUCUACGGUACCUAUUCUUGUUCUUGUGGGGUGACGUAAUGCGACGACCGAUACCGGCCUUUCUCACACACCUAGAAGACAACUUCGUGCCGCGACGACAGUGAGAGGUUUUGUACCUACCCUUCUGCGGGUAGCUGCAGCGGUUCGACUUGUUGGUCCUGCUCCAGGAGUUCGACGAGCUCUUCCUGCACAAGGACAUUUAGUGAAGUGAACCGGGGGUACUUCUCUGUACCUGCAGUAGUACGAAAUGUAAGGAACCGUAACCAAAAUAUAUCAGUAUGAACUUAGCCGUAAAAUAAGCAACACAUUCUUAGAUGAUGGACACCAUCGAUCGGACGUCCGGCUGACCGACUCCAAUCUUGACGUACAAUGACAUAUACCGCUGAACACAUAGCAGGCGAAACAAAGACAACUAAAGUGAUCUCAUUAGGUUCUGACAUUCUAAUAAAAAACACAACGCGUCUCAAACUUCUACCAUACGCACGGCAAAUGACCUUUCUAUUUGACGCUAAACUUUGGGACUUAGAUGGGUCAGUUUAGGUACCGUUAUUUUACCUAUGACCUACGUUAGAGAAGGUGGGGUACUUUUUCGGCAAACUUGGAACCCCUAGCCCAAAAACCACAUCGUAAUGUCCCUCUUUAACGUAAGUGGAGGGUUGUCUUGACGAGAUCACAGCAGCCGAGGGGACAGAGGUGCUGCCACACAAUUUUUCACGGAGC